UACAGAGGGGGCAAGCGUUGUUCGGAAUUACUGGGCGUAAAGGGCGCGUAGGCGGACUUUUAAGUCGGGGGUGAAAGCCCAGGGCUCAACCCUGGAAUUGCCUUCGAUACUGAGAGUCUUGAGUUCGGAAGAGGUUGGUGGAACUGCGAGUGUAGAGGUGAAAUUCGUAGAUAUUCGCAAGAACACCAGUGGCGAAGGCGGCCAACUGGUCCGAUACUGACGCUGAGGCGCGAAAGCGUGGGGAGCAAACAGG
rnacentral:rRNA from 1 species